rnacentral:rRNA from 1 species
GCGCCAGACUCCUACGGGAGGCAGCAGUGGGGAAUAUUGCACAAUGGGGGAAACCCUGAUGCAGCGACGCCGCGUGAGCGAUGAAGUAUUUCGGUAUGUAAAGCUCUAUCAGCAGGGAAGAAAAUGACAGUACCUGACUAAGAAGCCCCGGCUAACUACGUGCCAGCAGCCGCGGUAAUACGUAGGGGGCAAGCGUUAUCCGGAUUUACUGGGUGUAAAGGGAGCGUAGACGGCUGCGCAAGUCAGAAGUGAAAGCCCGGGGCUCAACCGCGGGACUGCUUUUGAAACUGUAAAGCUGGAGUGCGGGAGGGGCAGGCGGAAUUCCUGGUGUAGCGGUGAAAUGCGUAGAUAUCAGGAGGAACACCGGCGGCGAAGGCGGCCUGCUGGACCGUAACUGACGUUGAGGCUCGAAAGCGUGGGGAGCAAACAGGAUUAGAUACCCCGGUAC